GCAUAUCAAUAAGCGGAGGAAAAGAAACCAACAGGGAUUGCCCUAGUAACGGCGAGUGAAGCGGCAAUAGCUCAAAUUUGAAAUCUGGCUCUGCUCUAGGGUCCGAGUUGUAAUUUGUAGAGGGUGCUUUGGCACUGAUGGCGGUCUAAGUUCCUUGGAACAGGACAUCACAGAGGGUGAGAAUCCCGUAUGUGGUCGCUAAUCUUUGCCGUGUAAAGCCCCUUCAACGAGUCGAGUUGUUUGGGAAUGCAGCUCUAAAUGGGAGGUAAAUUUCUUCUAAAGCUAAAUAUUGGCCAGAGACCGAUAGCGCACAAGUAGAGUGAUCGAAAGAUGAAAAGCACUUUGGAAAGAGAGUCAAAAAGCACGUGAAAUUGUUGAAAGGGAAGCGCUUGCCGCCAGACUUGCCUGCAGUUGCUCACCUAGGCGUUCAGCCUGGGGCACUCUUCUGCAGGCAGGCCAGCAUCAGUUUGGGCAGCCGGAUAAAGGUCUCUGACACGUUCCUUCUACCUUUGUGUAGAUGGUCAUAUAGGGGAGACGUCAUGCGGUUAGCCCGGACUGAGGUCCGCGCAUUGCUAGGAUGCUGGCGUAAUGGCUGCAAGCGGCCCGUCUUGAAACACGGACCAAGGAGUCUAACAUCUAUGCGAGUGUUUGGGUGUCAAGCCCGAGCGCGCAAUAAACGUGAACGGAGGUGGGAACCCUCUUUUGGGGGUGCACCAUCGACCGAUCCUGAUGUCUUCGGAUGGAUUUGAGUAAGAGCAUAGCUGUUGGGACCCGAAAGAUGGUGAACUAUGCUUGAAUAGGGUGAAGCCAGAGGAAACUCUGGUGGAGGCUCGCAGCGGUUCUGACGUGCAAAUCGAUCGUCAAAUUUGGGCAUAGGGGCGAAAGACUAAUCGAACUAUCUAGUAGCUGGUUCCUGCC
rnacentral:rRNA from 1 species